GUAGUUGUGGCUGAGUGGUUAUGGUGAUGGGUUAAAAAUCCAUUGGGGUCCCCCCACCCCCACAGGUUCAAAUCCUGUCAACUACA